GAAAUGCGAUAAGUAGUGUGAAUUGCAGAAUUCAGUGAAUCAUCGAAUCUUUGAACGCACAUUGCGCCCUUUGGUAUUCCAAAGGGCAUGCCUGUUCGAGCGUCAUUUGUACCCUCAAGCUUUGCUUGGUGUUGGGCGUCUUGUCUCUAGCUUUGCUGGAGACUCGCCUUAAAGUAAUUGGCAGCCGGCCUACUGGUUUCGGAGCGCAGCACAAGUCGCACUCUCUAUCAGCAAAGGUCUAGAAUCCAUUAAGCCUUUUUUCAACUUUUGACCUCGGAUCAGGUAGGGAUACCCGCUGAACUUAAGC
rnacentral:misc_RNA from 1 species